rnacentral:rRNA from 1 species
CCUGUCUAACUAUAAGAGGUCCAGCCUGCCCAGUGACAUUGUUCAACGGCCGCGGUAUCCUAACCGUGCGAAGGUAGCGUAAUCACUUGUUCUUUAAAUGAGGACUAGUAUGAACGGCUUCACGAAAGCUAUACUGUCUCCUUUAUUCAAUCAGUUAAACUAAUCUCCCCGUGAAGAAGCGAGGAUACUUAUAUAAGACGAGAAGACCCUAUGGAGCUUUAAACACUUAAACAUUUGCAUUACACAUAAAACUUUCAGAAAACUCUCUCAAGCUUACCAUUUUGUUUUAAGUUUUAGGUUGGGGUGACCACGGAGAAAAAUCUAACCUCCACGUAGAAAGAAACUAUUUUCUAAGCAAAAAGUCACAUCUUUACGCAUCAAUAUAUUGACCUAAAUUGACCCAUUAUUUGAUCAACGAAC